rnacentral:lncRNA from 1 species
AGUGACAGGUCAUGAAAGAUAAAGCUACAGACCCACUGGAGAUGUGGGCCAGCCGAAGUUUCAACCAGAUGUCGCCAGAGUGGCCAGUCUCCCCCAGGCAAAGCAAAGCAAAGCAAUAGUUCCUGGACAACUCCUUUCGUGGUGGACUUCCUGAGGCCCUCUGCGCCGGCUCCCGGCUCUACAGAGCUUGUUCCUGGGGACCAGUUACUCCAGGCUUUGGAUCUCCCCACCUCAAUAGUUCGCAGGGAAGUUCUCCAUCAUUCCACUGGGGCCAGGCCUUGGGUUCCACUCCAGAAGCCCCGAAGCACCCUUCCUCCUGUCCAGAGUCCUCUCUCCUACCUACUUGGGCUUAGGCUCAGCCCACCUGUGGGCUGGGAGGGGAUGGAAGAGACAGGUGGGCCCCUAGAUGCACUGGCUGGAUUGCAGACAUAUUUAUGCUCCAUUUCUAGUGUCUGGUCCUUCCUGUGGUCCCACUGAUGGGGGAACAGAAAGGAAACAGGAGGGGGCUGGGGUGACAGGCACAGCCCACUAGGCUGCCCUCCUCUGCCUCACCCUCCCUCGCCUGGGCCCCAGCUGAGCCCAUCAUCAGAGGCCUCCAGGAGCUGGGGCCACAGUCUGCGUGGGUCUGCCCCUCCCCUCACCCCAGCCUAGAAGACUCCACCUCUCCCAGGUCCUGGCUGGGAUCCGAAGGCCCCGGGCAAGUGGGGGAAGGGGAGCCACUCCUACUUUCCCAGCAGCUGCUGCUGCCUCUUCCUGUUUUGCUAAAACUUUGGCUCCGGACCCAAGGGGGUGGGGGAAAGUCGCCAGGCGCUCUCGCCCCCCCCCAAAGGUCAAACUCAUCCCCCUGGUCCUCUUAGCUAGUUAUUUAUAGCUCCCCAGGCCCUGGCUGAGGAGCUACAUCUCUCCUCCCCCAAAUGUCAGCAGCUGUGGCCAUUGCCCCAGGGAUGCAGCCAGAUGUGCUGAUCACUCCAGAUGCGCAGUGCCAGGAUUUGGGAGCGCAGGCCAGGCCCUUUCUCCUGGACAUUCCCUGCUGCCUGGUUCAUCCUCCACUCUGAGUCAACAAACCUGAGUCCUGGGGGAUGGGGGGACAUCAGGAAGUUCCCACCUAUUUUCUCCACUCCCAUAGCCUGAUCCCAAGACGGGACAGCUCGGGCUAUAGACCCACGUGGAUGUCUUUGCAUAAAUUAGGACAGGACUCAUUUGGAGACUGGAUUUGUAGAAGUCAGCUGCAGUUCAGAGGGACAGAAGGGUCAGGAUGCUGGAUGCUGUCUUCUUACUAACGUCAGCACGGAGAUCCACUCCUGAGAGUCCAGCGUCCAAAGGGCAGGCUCUGCGAUUCUUUUCUUUGGCUACAUCCUGCUCUCCAGGAGAUGAUGAAUUCCCCAGGGAGAGGACUGCAGCUUCCUUUGCCUCUGUGCCAGGAAGUUGCUCAACAAAUAAGAGAUUAUACGUAAUGAAAAAGAGUUGAAGUCAGUGGUGGUCACGUGUGGGUGGAUCCUUCAAGGUUGUAGCAAGGGGAGAAGUCCAAACCCAUCCUAAAAGACACUCCUGGCAAAGAGAGUGUCAGGACCUCCUCAAACGCUUGCCUAGAGAUUCCAAGGCCUGAGAAGGUCCUGCUGCGGCCUGUUGCAAGGCUGAACUCCCGAGCCCACCAGUGGGUGGACCACAGCAUCCCUGCAGGGGCCACUGGAGCACGUAAUUGUGAGCUGGCUACAGAAAGGCAUUUUGCAACUCAGACGAAUUUCUUCUCGCUCACGAUUAGGGUAUGGCCCAGUGGCUGCCUCCCUGACUGUAAUCUCUGCUGGCACAGGCAUCUCCGGGGCUGGGCAGUGGGGGCUGUGGAAGGAGGGCUGACCUAGAAGCCUGGACGCCGGAGUUCUCUGCCCGCUCCUCGCCAGGGAUUAACCAUGGCAUGGCUGGCAGGGAGACUGGGUUCUCAGUUUCCUCAUCUGUAAAAGGAGUGAUGUGAUUAGAUUAGAGCGGCCCAAACCUAACCACACCUUAGGAUUACCUGGGGAGCUUCAGAUUACUAGGUACUCCCUUCACCCCUUGCAUCUGCUGGGGGCUGUGAGAUGGCCCAGGAAUCUGUUUUUCACAGGCUCUUCUACAUGAUUUUUUGGGGGCCACACCCACAGCCUGUGGAAGUUCUGGGGCCAGGGAUCGAACCUGCGACCCUAGCCACUGCAGUGACAAUGCCGGAUUCUUAACCUGCUGAGCCACAGGGAAACUCCUACAGGAUUUUGACAUAAUGUCAAGUAUGGGGGAUCCUACAGACUAUAGAUAUAAAUAAACUGUAAAUAUAAAUCACUUGCAGCUCUUAGGAGAAAAGAUUCUAGUAAAUGGAAUGGCUGUAACAAGAGGCUUUGGUGCUGUGGGGUUUUAUCAGAGGGCAAAUGGUGGGUAGUUUAUUUCAUCAUCAUCGUCACCAUCAAUUACUAUUUUUUCCAGGCCUUUUUUGGCUGCACCUGCAGCAUGCAAAAGCAUGCGGGGCCAGGGAUCAAACCAGCACCCCCAUGGUGACAACACCAGAUCCUUAACCCGCUGCACCACCAGGGAACCCCUCCAGUUUUAUUGAGAUAUAAUUGACCUACAUCACUGUGUAAGGUGUACAGCGCAAUUUGAUUUACAUACAUCAGGAAAGGGUUAUCAGACUAAGUUUAGUAAAUAUGUAUCAACUCAUAUAGAUACAAAAUUAAAGAAAUGGAAACACCCUUUUCUUCCUGCGAGCAGAGGACUCGGGAUUGAGGCCCUCGCUUACCUCAAGGCUGGAGCCGGGCUGGGAGAGAAGGGAAGGGAGGAAUGGGCCGUCCCUGUAGGUGGGGCCUCUUGGCACGGGGACCUUUCUCUCUCACUCUCCUGGGUGGAGUUUGGCUGCACGGGCUUUGGCACCAGCCUCUGGAGCUGAGAGAGUGUCUUCCCAUCCGUAUUCCUCCCCCACUUCGGUUUCAGCCCAGAGGACAGCCCCCUUCUCCUCCUCCUGCCCCGACUUCCUCCCCAGGCUCCCUCACCAACCUCAUUCCUAAGCCUCGCUAAUCUGUUUGCCACCCUCUGCUUCCUUGCCUCGCCCUUGCUCAUGCCAUUCUCUCCACCUGGAAUGUCACCCCCGCCCCCCAACACCAAUUCACAUUUCUGGGCUCCUUUGAAACCCAGCUCCAGACUGGCUGACGUCGUUGGGGCUGUGAUCUGCCCAGGUCGCUCCUCUUCGGAGAUAGACUCAUUUAUGCUUGAAAUCACAGAAUCAGAGAACAGCUUUAGACUCAGAAAGAAAUAAGUACAGAUGACCUAAACCAGCUCUCGCAUUCAAUGGACGGAAACCCUGAGGCCCAGAGAGGUCUUGACUUGGCCAAGGUCACACAGUCGUGAGGUUUGCUGGUGGUGGUGGUGGCGGCGAACAGUUGGCUUCACAAGAGGCUUUCAAGUAUCCUACGUCUUUGUUUUAUUUCCUCGACACGUGGUGAUGCCUAUGAGGGCAGAGGUGAUGUUGCUGUUUUAAUUGGUGUUCUUAAGCUCCACGGUGCUGUGUAUGUGCAGGCAACUGUAAUAGUUCUAAAACUCGCAGGGGUGCACAUUUUGCAUAUGAUCUCAGACCAGCCCUGAGCGGUAGGUCACCAAGGCAUUGCUAUCUUACUGAGCAGGAAACUGAGACUUAGAAAGGUGUGACCCAGGAAGUUAAUGGCAGAACCGGGGCCAAAACGCAAGUUCCCUGCCUCCCAGCCUCAGCCCAGGACCCUGACACCCAUGAUGCUGUUCUUCUAGAGCCUUCCUGAGGUUCCCGGCAGGGGAUCUAGAGUAGUCAAAGGGGUGGCCUCCGCCGUCUUUCGCCUUCCUUGUGAUUUCUUCACUUUGGGGUUGAGCAGACCUUGCCUCUGGCCUCCUACCCCUCCCCAUCCUGUCCCACCGCGUUCUCCUUGUGUCCCCCCACAGCCUGUUGGCACAUUGACCCAUACGCAUACAUGCUCAGAGCUGCAGGUGUCUAGGGCAACAGACCACAGGGGAAACCACAUCACCUUUGUUGACACUGGAGGGAGGCAGGGGGGCCGGGAAAGAACCUGCUUACGUCUCUCCACCUGCCUCUGUCCCCGCAGUCAUCUCACCUCCCAGCCUGGUGGGUCAUCUGGACUUGACCCAUGGCCCAGCCUCUUCCUGAGGACCCAUCCAAACCUGGCCCGGGAGGAUGUAUCGCCCCUUCUCACAGAUCCUGAAAUCCUGGAGGGAGGUGGGGCGGUCUGCCUAGCUGCACCCCAAAGCCACACCCCCAAUCCUAGCCAGUUUACUGACCUAGCUCCUCUGAUUCCACCUGCGCAGUGCAGCAGACAAAGGUGGAAACCAGGAAUGAGAGGACAUGGCUGGGGGUCGGUAAGGAAGGAAAUUUGACAUCUAGGCCAUCACUCCUACAUCAAAGGGGACCGCUAGGGAGUUCCUGUCGUGGCUCAGCGGUUAAUGAACCCAACUGGCAUCCAUGAGGACGCAGGUUCGGUCCCUGGCCUCGCUCUGUGGGUUAAGGAUCAGGUGUUGCCGUGAGCUGUGGUUUAGGCCGGUGGCUACAGCUCCAAUUAGACCCCUAGUCUGGGAACCUCCACACGCCACAGGUGCGGCCCUAAAAAGACAAAAAGACACCAAAAAAAGGUGGAGGGGGGACCUCUAGUAACCAGGCUACAUGGGAUCUGUGGUGUUUGGACCUGCUGAAAGAAGCUGCACAGGCUCUGAAUCAGGCCCAUUUGGGAUUAAGUCACUUGCUGGCUCUGUGGCCUUGGGCAAAUCAUUUUGUGUUUCUGAGCUUUAGUUUGCUAACUAAAACAAUGGGGAUAAUAAUGAGAUAUAAGUGAAAGGUCCUGGAACAGCACAGGAUACCAAGGAGACGCUCAAUAAAUCCUAAUUACCCUCCCUCCCUCCUUUCCUUCCACUUGUUGCAUCUGGCUCCAUGAAACCCUUUAUUUGGAAUUGGAGCUCUACCUCCCCUAUUUACGUGCAAGUCCAAACCCUGAGCAUUGGCAUCUGAUCCCAGGUUCAGAAACAGGAAUGCACAUCCCCACAGCCCAAGGAAGUGGCUGUCCCUCGGAGAGUGCACCCAGGCCAAGGACGAACACCUUCUGAUCGGCCUUGUGGAGAGGGUGUGAGAAGUCCAGGUUAGGAAAGGGCUUGUGGCUUCAGACACCACAUCGAGAAAGCGGGUCAGGAAUGGUCUCAGAGGCCUGCGGUUUAGACCGAUGCCUUCGGAUGGAGCUUUGAACCCUGGCACAAGGUGGGCGCCCAAUAACACUUAUUGAAUGAACGCAUGGCCUCAGCACUUACUAGUUGUGUAACGUUGGUCAUGUUUCUCAACUUUUAUGAGUCGCACUUUAAUCACAAACAUAACAAGGAUUACUGCUAAGAAUAAAUGAUCUCAUGUUUGCCAGGGGGCUGGCAUAGGGCUGCUGCAUGGCACACAGUCAGUAAAUGGUAGCUAAGUAAGGGGAUGUGAGAUAAACGAGAAAGAGAAGGUCAAAGAGGCUCAGAACCCCAAAGCAAGCGGAAGGUGGCUGCCUUCAGGCUUCGUACUGGCCAGAGACUCCAAGAAGACUCUGGGGAGCCAAGGCAGGUCCUGUGGGGCUAAUCUCUUCUGCUAGGUGCUUAGCUGAGCAGUCUGUGAGAGGCCUGGACUCAAGAGC